GCCAUACUAUGUUGAAUAGACCAGUUGUCAUUCAAACAACGAAGUUAAGCAGUAUCGAGCGCGGUCAGUAGUUGGAUGGGUGACCGCCUGGAA